GCCUGGGUGGUUCAGUUGGUUGGGCAUCUGACUUCAGUUCAGGUCAUGAUCCUGCAGUUUGUGGGUUCAAGCCCCAUGUCGGGCU
rnacentral:tRNA from 1 species